UACGUAGGUGGCAAGCGUUGUCCGGAUUUAUUGGGUUUAAAGGGUGCGUAGGCGGCUUUGUAAGUCAGUGGUGAAAUAUGGCAGCUCAACUGUCAAGGUGCCAUUGAUACUGCAGAGCUUGAGUACAGAUGAGGUAGGCGGAAUUGACGGUGUAGCGGUGAAAUGCUUAGAUAUGACACAGAACACCGAUUGCGAAGGCAGCUCACUAAGUCAUAACUGACGCUGAUGCACGAAAGCGUGGGGAGCAAACAGG
rnacentral:rRNA from 1 species